rnacentral:sRNA from 1 species
UCAAUAGGAACUUCUGCUAAAACCGCUCACGAUCUGUUGUGAGCAAUACAGAAGUCAGCACAUACUGUGCA